UACAGAGGUCUCGAGCGUUAGGCGGAAUCACUGGGCUUAAAGCGUGUGUAGGUGGAUCGUUAAGUACCUUGUGAAAUCCCACGGCUUAACCGUGGAACUGCUUGGUACACUGGCGGUCUUGAGCCACUUAGGGGCUACCAGAACAAAUGGUGGAGCGGUGAAAUGCGUAGAUAUCAGGAGGAACACCUGCGGUGUAGACGGCUUACUGGACCAUAACUGACGCUGAGGCACGAAAGCGUGGGUAGCAAACAGG
rnacentral:rRNA from 1 species